CGGGGACGGGUAGGUAGUAAUUAGUCGUGGGAAACGGUACGCUCGAGUGGGAGGGGAUAACUACUGGAAACGGUAGCUAAUACCGCAUAACGUCGCAAGACCAAAGAGGGGGACCUUAGGGCCUCUUGCCAUCGGAUGUGCCCAGAUGGGAUUAGCUAGUAGGUGGGGUAACGGCUCACCUAGGCGACGAUCCCUAGCUGGUCUGAGAGGAUGACCAGCCACACUGGAACUGAGACACGGUCCAG
rnacentral:rRNA from 1 species